GAUAUAAUAUAUUCUAUACUUACUGUAAGAACAAACCGCACGGGACUGCCAUUGCGCAUUUUAUGAUAUUCAUUAGUUAUUGUAUUAUACACAGUAUUGUAACAGUGGGAGGACUGUUAACCACAAUAGUUAGCACUGUUAACCACAAUAAUUUAGCACACACCUACAUGUUACAAGUGUUUAUUCAAGCACCAGGGCAGUUAUAGGUCUUAAAUUUAAAAUGCCUUUGCCCAAAUUGCCCCAAUCAAUAGUUAAAGAUGGAGAAGGCUAGAUACGCCUAUGACAACCGAUGGAGUAAAUCUGACUAAAAGAGGUCUGUUCUACUCAUUAGAGUGUCCUUUGCUACUUGCAAGAAACUGGCCGCUAAGAACAGAACGAUAAGGUCUAAAAUCGGGCAGCAAAGAGGAAGAGAAGAGGCACUGAGGCAGCCAUUUCUUCACCACGUGGCACUAUGAAUAUCAUUAAAAACCACGAGGGGCUAGCUGGGGUGUAUAUAUCAGAGGCAGGGGUGUAUAUGCUUAAUAUACUACCCGGCGGUGCCUUUGAUCUUACAGUAACUAUAGCAUAUGUACCCAUAACCACCUCCAGAAAUGGAUGAAUCCUACACUUACCUCUAAUGAAGUCGCCUCACGUCUGAGGUUCUGGCACUUCCCUGCUUUUUUAGGACGACAGUCCGAGCAUGGCUGAUUUUUUUGUACACAAGAGCAAUAUAAACAAACGCCAGUGCUGUUACAACCACAGCACUUCGACUUAGACAUUAGUAGCUUUAACGAAUGAAA